GAUGAACGCUAGCGAUAGGCUUAACACAUGCAAGUCGAGGGGCAGCAUGGUCUUAGCUUGCUAAGACUGAUGGCGACCGGCGCACGGGUGCGUAACGCGUAUGCAACUUGCCUCACAGAGGGGGAUAACCCGUCGAAAGACGGACUAAUACCGCGUACACUCCAUCUUGGGCAUCCAAGGUAGAGGAAAUGAAAUUCGCUGUGAGAUAGGCAUGCGUCCCAUUAGCAAGUUGGUGAGGUAACGGCUCACCAAGGCGACGAUGGGUAGGGGAACUGAGAGGUUGAACCCCCACACUGGUACUGAGACACGGACCAGACUCCUACGGGAGGCAGCAGUGAGGAAUAUUGGUCAAUGGGCGAGAGCCUGAACCAGCCAAGUCGCGUGAAGGAUGACUGUCUUAUGGAUUGUAAACUUCUUUUAUACGGGAAUAACAAGAGUCACGUGUGACUCCCUGCAUGUACCGUAUGAAUAAGCAUCGGCUAACUCCGUG
rnacentral:rRNA from 1 species